UGGGGAAUAUUGGACAAUGGGCGCAAGCCUGAUCCAGCAAUGCCGCGUGUGUGAAGAAGGCCUUCGGGUUGUAAAGCACUUUUAUCAGGAGCGAAACGCUGUCGGCUAAUACCCGGCGGAACUGACGGUACCUGAGGAAUAAGCACCGGCUAACUUCGUGCCAGCAGCCGCGGUAAUACGAAGGGUGCAAGCGUUAAUCGGAAUUACUGGGCGUAAAGCGUGCGUAGGCGGUUUCUUAAGUCUGCUGUGAAAUCCCCGGGCUCAACCUGGGAAUGGCAGUGGAUACUGGGAGGCUAGAGUGUGUCAGAGGGUGGUGGAAUUCCCGGUGUAGCGGUGAAAUGCGUAGAGAUCGGGAGGAACAUCAGUGGCGAAGGCGGCCACCUGGGACAACACUGACGCUGAGGCACGAAAGCGUGGGGAGCAAACAGGAUUAGAUACCCUGGUAGUCCACGCCCUAAACGAUGCGAACUGGAUGUUGGUCUCAACUCGGAGAUCAGUGUCGAAGCUAACGCGUUAAGUUCGCCGCCUGGGGAGUNCGGUCGCAAGACUGAAACUCAAAUGAAUUGACGGGGUCAUAGCUGUUUCCUG
rnacentral:rRNA from 1 species